GACGAACGCUGGCGGCGUGCUUAACACAUGCAAGUCGAACGGAAAGGCCCCGCUUUUGUGGGGUGCUCGAGUGGCGAACGGGUGAGUAACACGUGAGUAACCUGCCCUUGACUUUGGGAUAACUUCAGGAAACUGGGGCUAAUACCGGAUAGGAGCUCCUGCUGCAUGGUGGGGGUUGGAAAGUUUCGGCGGAUGGGGAUGGACUCGCGGCUUAUCAGCUUGUUGGUGGGGUAGUGGCUUACCAAGGCUUUGACGGGUAGCCGGCCUGAGAGGGUGACCGGCCACAUUGGGACUGAGAUACGGCCCAGACUCCUACGGGAGGCAGCAGUGGGGAAUAUUGCACAAUGGGCGGAAGCCUGAUGCAGCAACGCCGCGUGCGGGAUGACGGCCUUCGGGUUGUAAACCGCUUUCGCCUGUGACGAAGCGUGAGUGACGGUAAUGGGUAAAGAAGCACCGGCUAACUACGUG
rnacentral:rRNA from 1 species